GGGAGUGUGGAGCUGGUGUAAUUACUGUCCUUAGAGAACACGAAUUAUAAAUGGUCUCCUUUCUAGAGGUUAAGAGGGAUAAGAUCUACUUACUACUAAAGAAGUUGUUACUUGCUUCAAAACGGUACUGAAUGUUAAAAAAUAAGAAUGGAAAGCUGUUCCUCUGUAAAAGACCUUAGUAUGAAUGAGAGAUAAUGGUUUAAGACCUGACUGGAUGUUGACUGGGUCAGGAUCUAAUGAUCAACACCAAAGCACAGAAUUACAAGUACUUAAAUACUUGCAAUGUAAAGUAAAACUUAUCCUGGCACUUGGCAACCUACUAUUUUGAGCCAGUGCUUGCCAACUUGGGACAAUGUGACAGCUGCAGUGGUUACCAAUAGUAGGGAAAUAACUUGAAAUAGCCAGGACCCUGAAAACUGCUGAGACAGUCACCAAGGGCGAACUGUUUUUCAUAAGAUGUGAUACUAGUAAUAUGCUGUUAGAUAGUUUCUAUUUUGGAAGCUCAAGUAAGUAACUAUAAACCUUAACACUUAAUGUAAUAAUUUAGAUUUAAAAUAUUUAAAUACAUGAUGACUGAGCCUCUGUGAUACAAGUCCAUCUUCUGUCUUAAACAUCUUAGAGAAUGAGGAAGAAUUGGCUAUAUAUAGUUUCUGGUUUGCAUACUGAUUUUUGGAGGGUUAUCAAAAUUCUCCACAGAGGAAGAGAUUCUCUAUCCUCUAGUCCAACAAGUAUCUAGGAAGCCUGAUGACGUCUUCCAUUCAGUUAAACCAGGGUAGGAUUGCCAGAUAAAAUACGGGACACUCAGUUAAAUCUGUGUUUCAAAUAAACAAUGUUUUUCUAAGCAUGUCCAAAAUAUAGCAUGGGUCGCAAUUACACUAAACAAUUAUUUGUUAUUUACCUGAAAUUUAAAUUAAACUAGGCACCUUGUUUUGUUUUUGAUUUUUUUUUUUUUUUUUUUUUUGGUCUUCUGUUAAAUCCGGAAACUCUAAACCAAGGGAGCUUAUGGAGUUACCCAAUGGAAUUCGUGGAUGAUGCUAAAAUGGAAGAUCCAUUCUUGGUGUAGAUCUGCACUGCCUCGUACAGUAGCUACUAGCUACAUGUGGCUAUUGAGCACUUGAAAUGUGCCUAGUUCAACACAAAAUUUUCUACAAGAAAGAUCAGUUCCAUGAUGCCUGGGAUGGACUGAGUCUUGGAUUAAAGGCUGAGACAACCUUGGUCCUGGAGAUGCAAUUUAUGGAGGCCUUUGAGUGAUUGCUGUAUUGCUGCUAAAGAGGGCCCAAAACUUGGAUAUUGUUUAAAGCCAAAUCAAUAUCCUCUUCAAUGUGAUCUUCAAGCGUGAAAUAGGACACGGGCUUUCACUUAUUUUAUACAAGUAGUACCGGUUUUCUAGGACUUGCUUACCUGGUGACCAAAACCAUGUACUGACAAUAUGACAGGUUGGUGGUACUGGUGACUACUGAGACUAAAACAAACAAUACGUGACUCAAACAGAAUCAAAUUUUUGCCUAUCAGUACCAUGCUCCUUAAGCAAAGGAAGUAUAGUAACUCUACGCCCUCCUUAUAAAGGACCACUGGAAAAUUAUAUAUCUCUUCAGACUUCUUUCUCUGAUUCAGUUUGUUAAUCCCUAUGGCAAAGGACUUAUAUAUUAGAUUGUAAAUAAAUUCUGGAAGAUGACCCAGAAAGACCACUUAGGAAAAGUCACAAGACUUCCCUGCAUAAUAUAAGGUAGAAUAGAAUGUAGAGCUAUGGCAAAUAAGAACAGCAAACUUCUUUAAACAUUGCUACCAAUCAGCAGUUCAUUACAUUGUAAACAGCCCAUACAGAACAGUUUAUAAAGAAUUUUGCAUGAAACAGAUGCUUAGAUUAGAAGACCUAUAAAUUAUGUGGCUGUUAUAAACUUUACUCAAAGUGGAACAAUCAAUAUACCUUGAUAAGGCUGAUAAGACUUUAGAUAAAUUAUGACUCAUCACUAAAAUUAUACUUUAAGUACUAUCAUCACAAAUAUAUACAUUAUUUAAACAUGAAGGUCAAGGGGAAAGGUGUGGUAAGAGUAACUGAAUUUCCAGCGCUAUGCUGUGUACUUCCAAAUCAUCUCAUUUAACUGGUAAAUUUUCCUGUGAUGUUAACAUUACUAUGUGAGUUGAGAAAACAGUAAAUAAUAGCCGUUAAGUGACUCUAUUAUAAAGUCAGCAUACAAAUCCUCAUGUGCUUGAAUAUACCAGUUUGUGAAACGUGGUAAUGGCCAACAGCUAAAUUCAGAAAAAAAUUCAAUACAGUUAGAGUUUCCAAAGUUGGCUACAACAGUAUGUCCCAUCCCAUUUUCUCUUUUAUAGUGUGAUUUCCUGUGCCAAGAAAUAAAACCAAUUUGCCCUCCUCUUGAUAUGGGCUGGUCUUGUGAUCUGCUUUGACCAACAGAAUGGGCACAGUGAUUCUGGGUCAUUCAUGAAUCUGGGCCUUCAAAGAGCUACAGCUUCUGCCUUUGCCUUUUGGAACAUUUUUUCUUGGAAUCUGGCUAUCCUGAUGCGAGGGAGCCAAUUAACAUCAGAGAGAGGCACCCUUAGCGAGAACUAAGGGCCAGGGGCCAGCAACCUGCAUCCAUUGCCAGUCAUGUGAGGAGGCCUUUUGAGUCUGCCCUGCCUUCCUAGCACUACAAGGAAAGCCACACAAGGCAGAAGAUUCACCCAGUCAACCCUUAAAAUGAUGAGAAGUAGUAAAUUACUGUUGUUUAAGCCACUAAACCUUAGAGUGGUUUGUUAUGAAGCAACUGAUAAGUAAAACACUAUUUCCCUUAGAAAUGUAUUUCAACAAUACCAGUGUCAGCACUUAAAUGGCCAAUAAAAACCAGAAUAUA